rnacentral:tRNA from 3 species
GGGCUCAUAGUUAAACGGUAGAACACGUCGUUCGCAUCGACGAGAUCCGGGUUCAAUUCCCGGUGAGUCCA